AUUGAACGCUGGCGGCAGGCUUAACACAUGCAAGUCGAGCGGAGAUGAGGUGCUUGCACCUUAUCUUAGCGGCGGACGGGUGAGUAAUGCUUAGGAAUCUGCCUAUUAGUGGGGGACAACAUUCCGAAAGGAAUGCUAAUACCGCAUACGUACUACGGGAGAAAGCAGGGGACCUUCGGGCCUUGCGCUAAUAGAUGAGCCUAAGUCGGAUUAGCUAGUUGGUGGGGUAAAGGCCUACCAAGGCGACGAUCUGUAGCGGGUCUGAGAGGAUGAUCCGCCACACUGGAACUGAGACACGGCCCAGACUCCUACGGGGGGCAGCAGUGGGGAAUAUUGGACAAUGGGCGGAAGCCUGAUCCAGCCAUGCCGCGUGUGUGAAGAAGGCCUUUUGGUUGUAAAGCACUUUAAGCGAGGGGGAGGCUACUAGUACUAAUACUACUGGAUAGUGGACGUUACUCGCAGAAUAAGCACCGGCUAACUCUGUGCCAGCCGCCGCAGUAACAC
rnacentral:rRNA from 1 species